rnacentral:rRNA from 1 species
CCUAGCCUGCCCAGUGAUUAUUUCAACGGCCGCGGUACCCUAACCGUGCAAAGGUAGCACAAUCACUUGUUCUUUAAAUAAGGACUGGUAUGAACGGCACCACGAAGACUAUACUGUCUCCUUUCCGCAAUCAGUGAAACUGAUCUUCCCGUGAAGAAGCGGGAAUUACUAUAUAAGACGAGAAGACCCCAUGGAGCUUUAAAUUAAACACCAACUGCCUAAUUAAUAUCACAAAAGCCUGGCAAAUCUGGCUGUUAACUUUCGGUUGGGGUGACCACGGAGUAAAAUAAAACCUCCACAAUGAACGGGCUAAACCCCUAAUUUAAGAAUAACACCUCUAAAAAUCAAGAUAUUGACAUUUAUUGACCCAAACUUUGAUCAAUGAACCAAGUUACCCUGGGGAUAACAGCGCAAUCCAUUUCAAGAGCCUCUAUCGACAAAUGGGUUUACGACCUCGAUGUUGGAUCAGGAUAUCCCAGUGGUGCAGCCGCUACUAAAGGUUCGUUUGUUCAACGAUUAAAAUCCUACGUGAUCUGAGUUCAGACCGGA